GCUUGCGACCUUUGCUUUUGGGAGGUGUAGUCGCUAGGAAAGAAACGAUGGCCUCUGCUUUAUCUGUGGUGCGCCGCAGUGAUCCGAACGAUCGUGAAGUGGCAAAACGUUUGCAGCUUUUUUUUUUUUAACGGAAUGUUUCUUCGUUGCCAUCUAACGGUCGUUGGGAUUUUUGCAGCCUAACGGAUGGGCAGUAGUCCUGAUUUGCGAAUGAAGCCUGGCAAAUGUUCUUGACCCAGAGCUUAUUUUAGAAUAAAAAGGCCUGGGAUUUGAGCAGACGCGUUUGUCAUGUAUUUGAUCGUGUCGUGCCUCGCUGCUCUUCGAUUUUGGGGAUUUUUGUCUUAACUAGCUUGCACUGGUAGACUUAGCUUAAGGGGUGGGUAACUCACGACGGCAAUUACUGGCUUUUAGAGCCGUUUUACGAAACGUCACGUGGAACUAAUAAACCGAGAAGAUAAGUGGAGAAUGCAUUGCGUGAUGAGAAUUGAGCCCAACCAAUGGAGAAUCGUGGUUGAGAGUUGGAUGUGCUUAAGUGCCCUUGAAUGCCUUGUCCUUGGUGUGCCAAAAUUGUCUUGAUGCUGAAUGAAAACCUCUGGAACCAACUGUCACUUGUUGAACCAAGCAACACAAAGAGGGCUGUAAUGUGGGGAUGUCUUGAAUGUUGUAAAUAAAUAAAUUUAAAAAUUUAAAAACCGUUUAUUUUGGAUAUUUUUUUCAGAUAGGUUUGAAGCACUGCCUUUGAACUGGUGCAUGGCCCAUUCAUGGUCUCAUUGGUUACGCUGCAGUGCAAAAAUAAAAAGCUUGCUUAUAACUGGUGUUGCUCAGCUUAAACCUGAGUGAUUCUUUUAAAGACAAGUUACAAUCCAUCUCAUGCUUAAUGUUAAAAUAUGUAAGUUCCUCAAAUAACUACAGUGACGGUUCAGAGGCUUGAUCAUCUGGGAAGAGUAUUAUGUAGCAGUGCUUCAAUUUUAUCUUGUUCGCUACAAUAUCUGAAGAUAACAUGAAUUAAAUGGGGAAAGAUUGGCUCUUAUUACCUGACAGUCUUUGCAUAAUCCCAUUUUCAAAGAUUAUAAUAAACAACCUAGCAUCAGGCAAAAGUAGUGUGCAAAACCCCACUCAUACAAGCUAUAAUGUACUGCAGCUCAGUGCAAUCUCAUUGGGGUCAUAUUUCAUCAAAAAGCACAUUCCCACCCAACUGAUUGCUUCCUAUUAAACUACCUGCUAUUAGAAGGAUAACUGUCCUUUGCCGUUCAAGAUGUUUCAGGUUUUAAAAGUCUACUCUGGACAUUUGGUAGAAUUGUAGCACACAAACUAACAAAGUGCACAUUAUUCAUGCUAUACAAGCACAAAUAGAAAACUGGACUAAAGAUUAUAUAUGGAGGGUGGACACUGCUAUAUGGGACAUACCUUUGGCAUGCUAGUGGAAUAUCCAAGAAAAGCCAGCAGUUGAGAUAGGGUGCUCCACUGCUUAUUUCCUUCCAUGCUCCUUAGGACACAACUUCAGUGGAAACAAGUGUUAGAAUAAACAAAAAUACAACCCUCUGAUUUAGCCACAACUUUAUGGUAUGGAUAAAUCUUAACCACAACCAAAGAGUUCUUUGCAAAGAACCAUUCAAGAGUGUGUGUAACAUACAACUUGUUAACCAAUCACAUCUUUAAUGCUGAGGAUAGUAAUGAGAUAAGCAACUCAAGCUUAUUAAAAGUGCAACAUGUUGAAUGUGUAACUUGAAAUUAGGUUUUGCCAAUAUUUCAAGGAUGGUGAAUUGAUCUAUUCCUGGAUAAAAUUUUCUUUUGGAGAAGAGUUAAAAGUUCUACAGAGCAGACUCUCAACCUUUUUUUUUAACCUGGAGGAACCCUCAAAAUUUUUACAUCUCUGGGAACCCCUUACACAAAUAUAAUUGUAUCUAGAUCUCUUGCAAGAUCUGGGCAAAACUUUAAUAAUGCUAUCAAAUAAAUUGGUGCUGGUUAAAUUAGUAUGAUGUGAUUGUAAUGCAACCCAGCCUAGGUUCUUGUGACUGGAAACUGGAUUUGACUUAGGUUUGUGGUGUUAAACCAUGGCCUCUGGUUUAAUGUGAUAAGCAGAUAGUCUCUCCCAUGUAGUUCCUAGUAUCUGGUUAUUUAGGGAAAAGGCCUGAACCCUUUGUUGUGUGUCUGGUCUCUGACACAACCUUAUUUUACAUCCUGUUGAGAUGAUGACUGUAAAGGAACAUAGGUGCAUCUCUUGAGGCAGCUGACCAAGAGAUACAAAUAAGUUCUAUUUAUUGAGCAGCAAUUUUGCAGAAAUUUCCUGAAACAUUUGAUCAAUAGUUUGCACAGCUGUAAUAUCGAACUAUAUUUUAGGUCAGAGUGAUGCAUUAAUACAGAGAAAAAAAAACGUAAGGGCUGUUGGAUAGAUUACAAGUCUUCCUAUCUGGGAAGCUAAUCCUGUUAUUUAGAAAAUAAGACUUGUGAGUGAAAAUGGACUGCAUCUCCUAAACCUUGCUUUACAAAUGGAAAAGGAAAAUUUACAAUACUGUACCAAAAAAACCAAAAUCUCCCCAGGCCUUCUAUUUGGAGCAAGAUUCAGGAGGCAUCCUGUAGGAAUGUAAAUUAAAUCCUGAAGAAUUGUAUAUUAUUUAAAUUCUAGAGUUUUUUAUGCUCUGGUUCAAUCCCCAAAGAAUCUUGGGUACUCUUGGCUUAGAGGACUGGCAGGCUCCAAGUGCCAUGAGGCAUGAUCUAUUUUGCCUGACUGCUCCCACAGAAAAUAAAUCUUUCAUGAGUACUGGAUAUAAGAGCUGAAACAUUCAGAAGAAAUGUAGAAUACGAUUUGGUAAAUUUUUCAGUAUUUCAGUCUCAUUGAACUCUACGAGUGCUAUAUUCCUGGAUAUGCACUCACACUUCUACCCCACCAAGCAUCAAACAGAUUUUUGACAUGGGAUAAAUUUAUUUGAAAAAAAGCAAGCCCACUAGUAACCCAUACAGUCUGAUUACGAAGUGCAGUGAAUUUACUUGUGCCAAACCUGGUUAAACUUGAUUACAUAUUUGUGCAUCUAGUAUUUUGACUUAUUGCACAGAGGGGGGAAAAGAGCUGUGAAUAAGACAUGCAGAUUUAAGAAGGCAAAUGCUUUCAUUAAGAGAUGAGAAGAAUAGUACAUAAAAUGGAAUGGUCCCAGAGUUGAGGUAACAAAAUAGUUGUCCAAAUAAUAUGAUUAUGUCAAUAUAUUAAAUGCUAAAUUUUAAAUAUGUUUCAGGCAAGGUGCUUUUAAAAAACAACUUCAAUUAGCUUCAUUUGGAGAUUGCAAAUCAUGAGAAAUUUGGACGCAGGAACCUAACACAACAUACAAAAAAGAUCUUAGAAAUAUGUAAAGCCUAGUACACUAUCAAAGAGUGAACUCCAUAGCUCACUUGCUUCCUUUGUAAACUAAAUUAACAUUCUUUCAACAUAAGUAGUUGGCAAUACUGAGUAUCAAGAAACACUCAUUGCUUAUGUAGUGUUCAAAAGAGUUAGAUUCAGUAUUCUGUGUUUAGUCCAUACAGAAAAGGAACAGCAAGGCAGUGUUCUCUUGGCCAUUCUCACUUGUAGUGCUUUGGAGUUGUUACUUUCAUACAGGAAUACCAAGCCAGCCUACAAGGUGCUUUAGCUACGUUGACCAAAAAAAAAAAAAAAAGCUGUAAUCAGGAUUUGCACCUCCUUAAAUGGAUAAAAGAGGAUCCACUACAUAGUUGGGAACAAAAACAGCUGUGAACAUUCUGGUUGAUGAAAGUGAAUGGCUCCUUCCAUGCAAUCAUUUCUGAUGAGUACAUGCAUGGCCUUGGACAUUUCCAUGUAUAGUCAACUCCGAGAGCCAUCAACCACAAGUUCUGCAAUUGUAACGCACUAACUAGAAGGCUUACUGUAGUUUGGUCUCAUGGCUUUGUCUUAAUUUUUUUUUCUAAAGAAUCACAAGAUCCCUUAAAACCAAUUCUGUAUGUUUGCAUGUUUUAUAUGGCUACUUGUUUCCAAGAAACUCAAUUUCAUAUGAAAAAAAUAAGUUGCUAUGCAUAAUCUACAUGGAUUGACAAUAUCACCUAUACAUCCAAUGUACAUUCUUAGCUCCAGAAACCACUUCAAAUUUGCUUGACACAAGCUAUUGGGACUGCAGGAGUGAAGAACAUGCCACUUCCAUUUGUAUUUCCAGCUGCUUGAGAGGAGAAAGUCUUCCAGUUAGACAUCUUUGUGCCUUACUGAAAACAAGUUCCAUAUGACUGGAUGAGAUAAACUGUCAGUGUUCAGUGUGUAUCCUGAAUUACUGCACAUCCAUAAAGUACUCCCAUGUGGAUCAAAUCUGUUGGAUCAAUUGCUGCUAGUUGGAUUUUUUCCCCUAGUUUACUGCAGAAGAGUGCAUAUUAACAACUAGGUUUUAAAGCCUAGCAGAAAUGGAACUAAUGCUCUAAAGUCAAUAGAGAGCCAUAACUGGAGCAAUUAUUGGCAGAAGCGAUCUUAUCUUUAAAAAAAUAAAACAUGGCACAAGGACAAAAAUCAGCUAGACUGUUUCAUUUGAAAGAGAACAUGAAAACGACAUCUGUUAAUACUGUAAACUGCAGUCUUUACGUUUCAUGGCUGUUCCAAUUCGGUAUCUUCAGUAACUUUUGAAGUGCACAUAGAUGAGCGGGGGUCCAUGAUUGAGUGCAUUAGAGGAAUAUAAAGAUCGUCCAUGUUUGGCAUGACAAAAAUUUUCUGCAAGGUAUAAUAAUUGAGUUAGAAUGCAAUUCAAAAUUCAAAGUCGAAAAAUUAAAUAUAUCAAACUCUUAUAUUGGACUCUCCCAUCAGGCCAAGUAGAAUUCUAAACAGAAUUUAUUUGAAUCGAGUAACAUCGUGGAUCACUAGUAAACAUCUAUCUACCUUAAGAUUAGAUUUGGAAAAGAGUCAUCAUGGAAAUUAAAGCAACAUUGCUUUUUACAGUUUACAAAAUCUUAAUUCCAUUACAUUUCAGCAAACAUUUUUUUUAAACACUUGACUCCUAUCAGCUAUUGCUCCUUGCCCCCAUCAUUCCAAUUUUUUUAAAGGAAAUAGCUAGAAAUUUGAAUAGAUAUAUUUAACAGUUCAAUAAAUUCAUGAUGAACAAAAUUCUAGAAAUAUAAACAAUAGAAAAGUAUGAGCAACAAUUUAUUCAAACUAUUUGUCCCAUGCUAAAAUCAGUCUUUCUUCAUGAGAUUAUCCAUAAUAAUAUUCCUUCUAAUUAUUUGGUAUCUCUUAAAGGAAAUUAAAAUCAGGCACUAUGCUCCUACUUUUAAAAAUAUGGGCACAGAAGGUAUUUUAGUGUGGAUAUGGCACACUUCAGGUCCUAAGACAGUAUUUCAGGAUAACAGUGAUCUCACUUGGUGCCUCAUUUCAGAUAGUCCUCCACCAGGAACUGUUUGUUUAGUGACUGUUUAAAGUUAUGGAACUGAAAAAAGUGACUUAUGACCAUUUUUCACACAACCCUUGCAGCAUCCCCAUAGUCACGUGAUCAAAAUUUGGAGGCUUGACAAGUGGUAUAUAUUUAUGAUGGUUAUGGUGUCCAGUGGUCAUGUGGUCAUCUUUUGUGAUCUUCUGACAAGCAAAGUCAAUGGGGAAGCCAAAUUCACUUUUUUUUUUUUUAUUUGAUUUAUAUGCCACUCUUCUCCGGAGACUCAGGGCGGCUUACAAUGUGCUCAGCAAUAGCCUUCAUCCUUUUUGUAUAUUUAUACAAAGUCAGCUUAUUGCCCCCACAACUGGGUCCUCAAUUUACCUACUUUAGAAAGGAUGGAAGGCUGAGUCAACCUUGAGCCUGGCGAGAUUCGAACCUGCAGUAAUUGCAGGCAGCUGGUCUUAAUAACAGGGUGCUUUAGACCACUGUACUACCAAGGCUCUUAAAAACCUUGUUACUAAUUUAACAAUUGCAAUGAUUCACUUAACCACAGUGGCACGAAAGGUUGUAAAAUGGAGCAAAACUCACUUAAUUGUCUUGCCUAGCAACAAAAAUUUGGGGUUUGAUUGUGAUUGUAAAUCGAGGACUACCUGUACAUCUUUUGCUGGGAUCAUGCAGUGUCUGUUAAGCCCAGAAGGAGUACAGUGUGUCCCAACACCUAUUCUUAAGUAAUUUUAUGGCUACUGCAGUAUGUUCCUAUAUGUGUUAUCAAACUAAGAAUCUGAAAUUCUCAGAAGCAAUGAUUUGUGUUAUACCAAUAUGUAGCCAUUCAGCGUGACUGUGUGCUUUUUCAUCUGAGAUACAUGCCACCAUCUUUAAGCUUACAGAGUCUUAGCUAAUGUCUUACUUAUUCUUUUAAUGCUAAUGAUAUUUGAAGUACCUGAAAUUCUUGUUCUAGUUUCUUCUCUAUCCACUCAGUUACAUGAACCAAAGUAACUUCUCUUUCACCAAGCUUUGGCCGAGCUUUUAGCUCCAGAUAAGGGGGUCUUCGGAAACCGUACCUGAAGAUUAAAAAAAUGAUCCAAGUUAAGAUGUUUCUAUCUCAGAUUUGUAUCCCAUAUUUUCUCAAAGGCCUCCAGGAGAAUAUAACCCAUGCUCAGCUAAAAUGAGACAUGCUUAACCAAAGCCGUCCUGGGAUAUUCUGGACAAACAGAAAUUUUAACCUAAGCAUGGUGUCCACACCAUGCUUCCCAACCCUAAUCUUGCUGGCUGUGGAUUCUGGGACUUGUGUUCCCAAACAUCUGAAGCACUCUAAAUCAGGGAAGGCUAUACUACCUCAUAUAACCUAAUCUUGUGCAUUUGCGGUUUAUGUUCAAGGAUUUUGUGCUUGGAGGAGGAUUGGAUGCUGUAAACCAGGCCUGCACAAGGCACAGAGGGAAAAAGGUCACUGAUAAAUUAAAAAUAACUGUGGGCUGCAAAGGAAUAUUUGGCAUACCAAUCAGCUAUUUGGCAGCAAGUAGAGUGCCAGUGGGACUGAAGCUGGCAGCAAUGGGGUCAGUGAUCAUGUCCAUUUCAAGACCAUUGAGCCAACGCUGUCCGAAGACAUUACUGUGGUCAUGUGGCCAGAAUGCUGUCACGGAGCCCUGUUACCUUCCCACCAAAGUGACAGACAGAGAAGAUACCUUUGAUGGAAUGACUAAGCAUGGAAGAAAGAUGCACCACUGUUGAUAAUGCACACAACAGGCAGAGAUAAACUGAACCAACGGCUGCCUAAAGGCAAAAAGACUCACCCUUCU